AGGUGUGUGCUCUAUAGUCCAGAU
rnacentral:snRNA from 1 species